GCCGCCGUAGCUCAGCCCGGUUAGAGCGCCAGACUCAUAAGCUAUUGGUUGAGAGAUCUGGUGGUCGCGGGUUCAAAUCCCGCCGGCGGCA
rnacentral:tRNA from 1 species